rnacentral:rRNA from 1 species
AUUGAACGCUGGCGGCAGGCCUAACACAUGCAAGUCGAGCGGAUGAAGGGAGCUUGCUCCUGGAUUCAGCGGCGGACGGGUGAGUAAUGCCUAGGAAUCUGCCUGGUAGUGGGGGAUAACGUCCGGAAACGGGCGCUAAUACCGCAUACGUCCUGAGGGAGAAAGUGGGGGAUCUUCGGACCUCACGCUAUCAGAUGAUCCUAGGUCGGAUUAGCUAGUUGGUGGGGUAAAGGCCUACCAAGGCGACGAUCCGUAACUGGUCUGAGAGGAUGAUCAGUCACACUGGAACUGAGACACGGUCCAGACUCCUACGGGAGGCAGCAGUGGGGAAUAAUGGACAAUGGGCGAAAGCCUGAUCCAGCCAUGCCGCGUGUGCGAAGAAGGUCUUCGGAUUGUAAAGCACUUUAAGUUGGGAGGAAGGGCAGUAAGUUAAUACCUUGCUGUUUUGACGUUACCAACAGAAUAAGCACCGGCUAACUUCGUG